rnacentral:rRNA from 1 species
GACGAACGCUGGCGGCGUGCUUAACACAUGCAAGUCGAACGGAGUUACGUUUUCGGAUGUAACUUAGUGGCGAACGGGUGAGUAACGCGUGAGGAACCUGCCUCUCAGUGGGGGGACAACAGUUGGAAACGACUGCUAAUACCGCAUAAUGUCAUGAAUCGGCAUCGGUUUAUGACCAAAGAUUUAUUGCUGAGAGAUGGCCUCGCGUCUGAUUAGCUAGUUGGUGGGGUAACGGCCCACCAAGGCGACGAUCAGUAGCCGGACUGAGAGGUUGACCGGCCACAUUGGGACUGAGAUACGGCCCAG